CCUACGGGAGGCAGCAGUGAGGAAUAUUGGUCAAUGGACGAGAGUCUGAACCAGCCAAGUAGCGUGAAGGAUGACUGCCCUAUGGGUUGUAAACUUCUUUUAUAUGGGAAUAAAAUGUUCCACGUGUGGGAUUUUGUAUGUACCAUAUGAAUAAGGAUCGGCUAACUCCGUGCCAGCAGCCGCGGUAAUACGGAGGAUCCGAGCGUUAUCCGGAUUUAUUGGGUUUAAAGGGAGCGUAGGUGGAUUGUUAAGUCAGUUGUGAAAGUUUGCGGCUCAACCGUAAAAUUGCAGUUGAAACUGGCAGUCUUGAGUACAGUAGAGGUGGGUGGAAUUCGUGGUGUAGCGGUGAAAUGCUUAGAUAUCACGAAGAACUUCGAUUGCGAAGGCAGUUCACUGGACUGCAACUGACACUGAGGCUCGAAAGUGUGGGUAUCAAACAGGAUUAGAUACCCUUGUAGUC
rnacentral:rRNA from 1 species